UGGGGAAUUUUGGACAAUGGGCGAAAGCCUGAUCCAGCAAUGCCGCGUGUGUGAAGAAGGCCUUCGGGUUGUAAAGCACUUUUGUCCGGAAAGAAAUCCUUGGCUCUAAUACAGUCGGGGGAUGACGGUACCGGAAGAAUAAGCACCGGCUAACUACGUGCCAGCAGCCGCGGUAAUACGUAGGGUGCAAGCGUUAAUCGGAAUUACUGGGCGUAAAGCGUGCGCAGGCGGUUUGCUAAGACCGAUGUGAAAUCCCCGGGCUCAACCUGGGAACUGCAUUGGUGACUGGCAGGCUAGAGUAUGGCAGAGGGGGGUAGAAUUCCACGUGUAGCAGUGAAAUGCGUAGAGAUGUGGAGGAAUACCGAUGGCGAAGGCAGCCCCCUGGGCCAAUACUGACGCUCAUGCACGAAAGCGUGGGGAGCAAAACAGGAUUAGGAUACCCUGGUAGUCCACGCCCUAAACGAUGUCAACUAGUUGUUGGGGAUUCAUUUCCUUAGUAACGUAGCUAACGCGUGAAGUUGACCGCCUGGGGAGUACGGUCGCAAGAUUAAAACUCAAAUGAAUUGACGGGGUCA
rnacentral:rRNA from 1 species